CUGGUGUUGUAUAUGUACAUAUAUAUUUUGUUGUUUUGUAUUUUACUUUUAUUUUACUUUGUAUACUUCUAUAUCUUUCAUGCCUGUUUCUUAUAUUUUGUGUUUUGUUUUUUAUUCUUGUGUGUUUGGUUUAUUGGUGCUGCUACUGUCACGACAAAUUUCCCCUUGGGGAUUAAUAAAGUAUAUAUCUAUCUAUCUAUCUAUCUAUCCUGUGACCCAGAGACCUGUGUUCCAUUCCACAUUCACAUGAAUAAAUGAAUCUGCACACUCCGGGACAGUAGGUGGCGGUAUGCACCUAGGCAAGUUGGUUGCGAUCCGCCAUUCAAAUUUAAAGAAGAAGAAGAAGAGACUGCACGGCACUUUCUUAAGAUCGUGGAACUGUGAUGGUCGCGUUUUACACACACACACACACACACACACACACACACACACACACACACACACACACACACACACACACACACACACACACACACACUUGCGUGCAGAGAAAGAGAAACACUUGUGCCUGGACGACUUCUGCAUUAAGGACGUGGCACUAAGGAGGAUUGUCCAGCCGCAG